GAUGAACGCUGGCGGCGUGCCUAACACAUGCAAGUCGAACGAGUGGCGGACGGGUGAGUAACGCGUGGGCAACCUGCCCUAUACAGGGGGAUAGCAGCUGGAAACGGCUGGUAAGACCGCAUAAGGAAAUCAGGUAUAGGAUGGACCCGCGUCCGAUUAGCCAGUUGGCAGGGUAAAAGCCUACCAAAGCGACGAUCGGUAGCCGGACUGAGAGGUCGGGCGGCCACAUUGGGACUGAGACACGGCCCAAACUCCUACGGGAGGCAGCAGUGGGGGAUAUUGCACAAUGGAGGAAACUCUGAUGCAGCGACGCCGCGUGAGUGAAGAAGUAUUUCGGUAUGUAAAGCUCUAUCAGCAGGGAAGAUGACGGUACCUGACUAAGAAGCCCCGGCUAACUACGUGCCAGCAGCCGCGGUAAUACGUAGGGGGCAAGCGUUAUCCGGAUUUACUGGGUGUAAAGGGAGCGCAGGCGGUUUUGCAAGUUGAGAGUGGAAGCAGGGGGCUCAACCCCCUGACUGCUCCCAAAACUGUAAAACUUGAGUAUGGGAGAGGCAGGCGGAAUUCCUAGUGUAGCGGUGAAAUGCUUAGAUAUUAGGAAGAACACCGGUGGCGAAGGCGGCCUGCUGGACCAACUGACGCUGAGGCUCGAAAGCGUGGGUAGCAAACAGGAUUAGAUACCCUGGUAGUCCACGCUGUAAACGAUGAAUACUAGGUGCUGGGAUUUCGGUGCCGUCGCAAACGCAUUAAGUAUUCCACCUGGGGAGUACGUUCGCGAGAAUGAAGCUCAAGGGAAUUGACGGGGACCCGCACAAGCGGUGGAGCAUGUGGUUUAAUUCGACGCAACGCGAAGAACCUUACCCGGUCUUGAGAUCGACAGGUGGUGCAUGGUUGUCGUCAGCUCGUGUCGUGAGAUGUUGGGUUAAGUCCCGCAACGAGCGCAACCCCUAUUUUUAGUAGCCAGCGGCCGGGCACUCUAAAGAGACUGCCGAGGAUAACUCGGAGGAAGGCGGGGAUGACGUCAAAUCAUCAUGCCCCUUAUGACCGGGGCUACACACGUGCUACAAUGUCAGUCAGAGGGAAGCGAAGGCGUGAGUCGGAGCAAAUCUCAGGCUGCCUCAGUUCGGAUGUAGUCUGCAACUCGACUACAGAAGCUGGAAUCGCUAGUAAUCGCAAAUCAGAAUGUUGCGGUGAAUACGUUCCCGGGUCUUGUACACACCGCCCGUCACACCAUGGGAGUCGGAAAUGCCCGAAGUCAGUGCCUAAGGAGCUGCCGAAGGCAGGUCUGGUGACUG
rnacentral:rRNA from 2 species